UCCUAGCAUAGCACUCGAGAUGCAUAGGCC
rnacentral:piRNA from 1 species